GAUGAACGCUGGCGGCGUGCCUAAUACAUGCAAGUCGAGCGAACAGACGAGGAGCUUGCUCCUCUGACGUUAGCGGCGGACGGGUGAGUAACACGUGGAUAACCUACCUAUAAGACUGGGAUAACUUCGGGAAACCGGAGCUAAUACCGGAUAAUAUAUUGAACCGCAUGGUUCAAUAGUGAAAGACGGUUUUGCUGUCACUUAUAGAUGGAUCCGCGCCGCAUUAGCUAGUUGGUAAGGUAACGGCUUACCAAGGCAACGAUGCGUAGCCGACCUGAGAGGAUGAUCAGCCACACUGGAACUGAGACACGGUCCAGACUCCUACGGGAGGCAGCAGUAGGGAAUCUUCCGCAAAGGGCGAAAGCCUGACGGAGCAACGCCGCGUGAGUGAUGAAGGUCUUCGGAUCGUAAAACUCUGUUAUUAGGGAAGAACAAAUGUGUAAGUAACUAUGCACGUCUUGACGGUACCUAAUCAGAAAGCCACGGCUAACUACGUG
rnacentral:rRNA from 1 species